rnacentral:rRNA from 1 species
UACGUAGGGUGCGAGCGUUAAUCGGAAUUACUGGGCGUAAAGCGUGCGCAGGUGGUUGUUUAAGACAGAUGUGAAAUCCCCGGGCUCAACCUGGGAACUGCGUUUGUGACUGGACAGCUAGAGUGCGGCAGAGGGGGGUGGAAUUCCACGUGUAGCAGUGAAAUGCGUAGAGAUGUGGAGGAACACCGAUGGCGAAGGCAGCCCCCUGGGCCAGCACUGACGCUCAUGCACGAAAGCGUGGGGAGCAAACAGG